rnacentral:rRNA from 1 species
GUACUUAUAAAGGUGUAUUUU